GGUCAUACUUCAACCACUCAUAGACUGCUAAGUGUUCAAACAAGGCAAACGCAGAGCUGUAACCAACCUCACUGUUUCUGUACUUCACUUCUGAUUCCCAUGAUGUCAGAAGCAGGAUCCAAAGUGGAGCUUCUAGUGACCCCUAGGAGUGCUGAGUAAACACGCAAGGUACCUGCAGGACCCACUUGUGUCCAUUGAUCUCUCAGAGCAGCUGGGGAUCAUGGGUAAAGACCUUCACAAUCUGGAACCCGAAGUUUGGAUCUUCUGAAAACAUCAGAGAAAGACUAUCUUUGCCAUCCCCACUACAGUAAAACUCUGGAGCCUUGAACCUUGGAUUUAUAAUCUCACAACUGAGAAGGGUCCCUCUAUACUCCUGGAACUGUACACCCAUUGGGAACUCUUAAGAAUACUUGAAACUGGCUAAUUUAUAAAGAAAAGGAAUUUAUUUCCUACAGUUAUGGAAGAUGAGAAGUCCAGAGUUCAGCGGCUGCAUCUG